UAUGGUUGGGUCCUUCAGGACAUUGAAGGAUGUCACUCGUGGGGCAUGGUCGGCUCCCUGGUCUGUGCCUGUUCCCUGAGCCAGGACUUUGAUUUCAGCGUUCCUUUCUCUAAAGCCACGGCCACUGCAGCCCAGCAGUGACUCAAGCAGAUGGCUGUUGGUGACAAGCCUCUUCUGAUUGGUAAUAAAAAUACCAGAAGCUACACUGCAUUGUGUACAAAUACGUGAGGCUAUUGCAGAUUCCUUUGUAUCUCUAGAUUCUAUUUUGAGAGCGGGUUGAUCUUCUCCAUGCAGAACCCUCACAGAAUGAGCAAUCACGCCAGGUCUGGUUUGCUGCCUCUACUUCCUCAUUUCCACUCUGAUUUCAGAAAGGGCAGAAGUUUCAAGCUGUACAUCAAAACCUGUUUCUUCUAUCUGAGCACAGAGCUUGUCCUCAUUCCGGGCUCCCUUUGAAGUUGGGUGUGUGCCUGUGUGGCCAAGUUCUGAUGGGUACAAACUUCAAGGUCAAGGUUUUUAAGAAGUAGAGAGAUCUCAUCUGCAUUCUCUCCUUUUACCAGCCGAAUGUGGACAAUGAAGAUAAGGCUCUAGGGAACAGUGGAGACACAAGAUAGAAAGAGCCCUGGGUCUUCAAAUCACUGGACAGAGGAAAGUGUCACGCCAACCAGGGACACAUGCCUUGGGUUGUUAGAUGGGUAGAAAUAAGUUUCUAUUAUGUUUGAGCCCUUAUACAGCUGUGGAUCUACUUGUUACAGCAGCCAGUAUCACCAAAUGAAGUUAAAGGUCCUUCCCUGGAAAGAGAGUGGAUGGAUCUUCUCACCCAGAACCUCUUACCUCAGGGGACAAAGAGCAGUGCAGGGGAGGCUCGGAUGUCGCAGGCCAGGAAACAGGUAGUCCCAGGAGCUAAAGCCCUGGGACAGAGAAGGAGCACCAAUAGGUACAGGAACUCAGCCCACAGGAACUCCAAUCCCGGUUCUCUGUCUUCCAACUUCUAUGCAUGCUUGUGUCUAUGCCUUUGUGCAAUGAGGAGUCCAUUUCUUAAGUUGUACCAGAGAAAUUAGUCAACACAGAGGCUUUUUUCCAAAUGCAGAAAACUAACAAAAUAGAGAAAAUCCAUAAAAGUUUGCUUUGACAAUAUGAAGAUAAUAUGAACAAAGAAUUACAGCCAUUAUGUGAACUUCUCAUUUUGUCUAGUUACUAUGCAGCACAAUAAGAAGACUUAUCAUUAAAUAUGUCAGAUUUGC